rnacentral:hammerhead_ribozyme from 1 species
AUUCAGCUGACGAGUCCCAAAUAGGACGAAGUGAAGCGCGUUAAACUGGAU